rnacentral:rRNA from 1 species
CACUCCUGCGGGAGGCAGCAGUGGGGAAUAUUGCACAAUGGGCGCAAGCCUGAUGCAGCGACGCCGCGUGGGGGAUGAAGGCCUUCGGGUUGUAAACUCCUUUCGCUAGGGACGAAGCUUUUUUGUGACGGUACCUAGAUAAGAAGCACCGGCUAACUACGUGCCAGCAGCCGCGGUAAUACGUAGGGUGCGAGCGUUGUCCGGAAUUACUGGGCGUAAAGGGCUCGUAGGUGGUUUGUCGCGUCGUCUGUGAAAUUCUGGGGCUUAACUCCGGGCGUGCAGGCGAUACGGGCAUAACUUGAGUGCUGUAGGGGUAACUGGAAUUCCUGGUGUAGCGGUGAAAUGCGCAGAUAUCAGGAGGAACACCGAUGGCGAAGGCAGGUUACUGGGCAGUUACUGACGCUGAGGAGCGAAAGCAUGGGUAGCGAACAGGAUUAGAAACCCUUGUAGUCCC